rfam:Schistosoma mansoni strain Puerto Rico chromosome 5, complete genome
AUCCAGCUGACGAGCCCUAAAUAGGACGAAAUAGACGUCCUGGAU